rnacentral:siRNA from 1 species
UCAAUAAUGCCUAACUUCUA